CUCCUUGGGCCGGGGCUCGCAGAGGCGGGAGCUGAGCCCGGCCGGGGCGGAGCUGGCGGCGGCCGACAGGAGGCGGCACGGCCGGAGCACAGAGCCGGGGCUCAGGGGCCAGCGAGGCUCGGCCGGCGGAGCGGCGGCAUGCGGCGGGCUCGGGGCGCGGCGCUGGCCGCGCUGGCCGCGCUGCUGCUCGCGGCUGUGGCCACAGCCCAGGUUCAGCAGGAGCCAUCGCUGGAGACCACCGAGGGCAGCGGCAUCAACAUUACCUGCUCACAUCCCAAAAAACAGAUGGGGGAUUUCAUCCAUUUCUACCGUCAGCUCCCGGGCCGAGAACCCGAAUUCCUCGCACUCAUCGCUAGAGGAACCAAGGUUCUGACGGACAUCGCAGGAGAGCUCUGGGUGUCGGAGGACGGGCGCUCGAGCGCGCUGUGGCUCGGUUGGCCCCGGCGCGGGGACGCGGCCGUGUAUUACUGCGCGCUGGGCGCACGGGCAGAGGGGCCGGGGCUGCGGCCGGGCACGAACCGCCGCGGGCGGGGCCGGGCGGGGCCGGGGGCACAGCGCCGGCCGCGGCCAGCAGGGGGCGCUGCCCCGAGCCCGCCGGGCCCCGCGCGGCUCCGCAGCUCCUUGGUGUGCCCCGAGCCCGCCCGCAGCGACCCCGCACAGCCCCGCACGGGCCCGGACACACGCCUGCCGCCUGCCCCCUAA